rnacentral:rRNA from 1 species
GACGAACGCUGGCGGCGUGCUUAACACAUGCAAGUCGAACGAAGUGGCGAACGGGUGAGUACUAAGUGGGUAACCUGCCCUCCUUUUUGGGAUAAGCCUUGGAAACGGGGUCUAAUACCGAAUACAGGGGGAUGGGCUCGCGGCCUAUCAGCUUGUUGGUGGGGGGCUGGCCUACCAAGGCGGUGACGGGUAGCCGGCCUGAGAGGGUAAACGGGGACAUUGAGACUGGGAUGCGGCCCAGGCGAGUACGGGAGGGAGCAGUGGGGGAUAUUGCAGAAUGUGCGAAAGACUAAUGCAGCGUAGGCGCGGGGGGGUUGAUGGCUUUAGGGUUCUGAACCUCUAUAGCUAUCGAAAGGGUAGGUGGAGAAGAAGCGCCGGCUAACUACGUGCCAGCAGCCGCGGUAAUAC